UAGCGAAGGGGGCUAGCGUUGCUCGGAAUCACUGGGCGUAAAGGGUGCGUAGGCGGGUCUUUAAGUCAGGGGUGAAAUCCUGGAGCUCAACUCCAGGACUGCCUUUGAUACUGAAGAUCUUGAGUUCGGGAGAGGUGAGUGGAACUGCGAGUGUAGAGGUGAAAUUCGUAGAUAUUCGCAAGAACACCAGUGGCGAAGGCGGCUCACUGGCCCGAUACUGACGCUGAGGCACGAAAGCGUGGGGAGCAAACAGG
rnacentral:rRNA from 1 species